rnacentral:rRNA from 1 species
UACGAGGGGGGCAAGCGUUGUUCGGAAUUACUGGGCGUAAAGGGCGCGUAGGCGGUGCGGUAAGUCACCUGUGAAACCUCUAGGCUCAACCUAGAGCCUGCAGGCGAAACUGCCGUGCUUGAGGGUGGGAGAGGUGCGUGGAAUUCCCGGUGUAGCGGUGAAAUGCGUAGAUAUCUGGAGGAACACCGGUGGCGAAGGCGGCAUCCUGGACCGGCAUUGACGCUAAAGCGCGAAAGCCAGGGGAGCAAACGGG